ACUGCCUACAGCUGCAAACGUAAGCGCUGCAGCGCAAGCGUUGACGCCACAGUUGGCCAAGAUCCAACUUUCGCGUGUCGACGGUUAAACUCGACCAAUCACAGGGCAGAGAUUCGAAUUUGGCGCACAUGUCUAACAACGGAUAUUCCGCCAUUGUCAUUGUUCGUUCAUCACCUGCUUUGUGAAUUGUGUUCACCAGUUAGUUAAUUUGUUAUAUUCUGAGUAUUCUCGACAAUUUGCGAUUGGUUGUAUUGUUCGCUGUACUUAUGGAAGGAUCACGCAUAGAUAUCGCUCUGUUGAUUGAUUUAAUUCGGGAAGAACCGCAUAUUUAUGACAAAGCCAAUCGGUUAUUUAAAGAUGACUUGGUAAAACAAAAAAGUUUUGAUAAAAUUGGAGACAUCUUGCAUAUAACUGGCGAACAAUGCCGGAAACUAUGGAAGAAUUUAAGAGACCGGUAUGUUAGAGAGAAAAAAAAGGUAAUUACGCACUCAGGUCAAGAAUGUGAAAGUGACUAUACGUGGCCAUACAUGAAAAAUAUGAGGUUUUUGGCCCCCCACCUCGAAACACUUACACUGCUACUGCUGCUAAAAGAUUGUCAUCUUCAGAUUCAGUAGCAUCAACAAGUACAUCGAACACAGAGAAUACACAGCUUUUUGAAUGAAAUAAAUAAUGAUCUAUCACCAACAGAUCCGCUAAUCUACACUGAAAAUUUCUUCUUAGAAGAAAAGAGUAAGACGCCCCCCUCUGCAGCCCACACAAUAGACUGCACUACACCCAUCUCUGUACACUGCACUACUGCCUUGACGACUCCCGCAUCACGAGGAUCAUCCAAACAGAAUAAAAAUAAGGUGACCAAUGAUCUAGUACAGGUUGCUCGUGACAUUGUGUCUAAAAUUCAACCUGAUCAGGGUUCACAAAAACUCAACACAGACAGUGCUUUUGGGCAGUAUGUUGCCGAAAGGUUACAAGAACUGAACGCGGAACAACGCUCAGCUAAAAGAAGAGCAAUUGUGCUGUUGCUGGAAGACUUAUAAACACGAUAUCGUUUUAUAUGUAUUUAUAAUUUCGUAAUUACAAAGAUACACUUUUUUAAAAAAAACAUAGAUAUUUUUAUAAAAGCUUUAUUAUUUA